rnacentral:lncRNA from 10 species
UUGCAGUGAGCUGAGGUCAUGCCACUGCACUCGAACCUGGGUGACAGAGCGAGACUCCGUCUCAAACAAACAACAACAACAAAAUUACUAUUUACUAGUCACUGUUGUCCCACAACCCUGAAACCCUACAAGAUAGGUACUAUUCUUUUAAUCUCUGACAGGAAAAAACUAAGGCACAACCAAGAUCAUGCAAGGUAAUAAGAGGCAAGGUUUUGAAUCUGGGAAGUCAGACUCUGGAAUUCAUACUCUCAGCCACACACUAUAUUACCUACCCAGUGUAGUGGGGGAUGGAUAGAUAAGUAAGUAAUUAAAUACAAUGUACAAUGGUAGAUGCAGAAGCUACCCUGGAAGCACAAGAAAAGAGGCCCCGUCAGCUCAGGAUUUAUAGAGAGGCAAGGAAAGAGGCAUCUCUUGGAUGAGUGACACCUGGACAGAGUUGGAAAGCAUGAGUAGGUAUCAGCUGCACACAAAAGGGAGGAAAGAAAACUCCAGUCAGAGAAAACAGCAUGGUAUCACAGAGGUAUAAAAUGUAAGGGGGCCAGGCACAGUGGCUCAUGCCUGUAAUCCCAGCACUUUGGGAGGCUGAGACGGGAGGAUUGCUUGAGGUCAGGAGUUCAGGACCAGCCUGCGCAACAAACUGAGACCUUGUCUCUACAAAAAAAAAAAAAAAAAAAAAAAAAUUUAAAUAGCUGUGCAUACUGGCAGGCACCUGGGGGCCCAGCUACUUGGGAGGCUGAGGCAGGAGGAUUGCUUGAGCCCAGGAGGUUGUUGCAGUGACCCAUAAUUAUGCCACUGUACUUCAGCUUGGGCGAUAGAGUGAGACCCUCUCUCAAAACAAACAAAACAUGUAUAUAUAUAUACACACACACACACACACAUAUAAUGCAAGCGGGGAGUGGUGAGAGAUAGCUUGCCCACAAAUAUUUAUGGGCCCCCUUCUUUUUUAGGCAGGUACUGUGUUUGGUGCUGGGGUAACAAAUAGCAGGGAUAGCACAUCUAAGGAACUUGAACUUUCAAGCAUUAUGCUCCCUUACCCACUAAAAUAAUCUUAAAAACUAGCCCUAGGCAAAACACUCAACAAACCAGGAAUGGAAAGGAAUUUUCUCAACCUGAUCAAGGUCAUCUAUGAAACACCCACAGCUAACAUCAUAUUUAAUGAUGAAAGGCUGAAUGCCCUCCCCCUAAGAUCAGGAACCAGAGGAGGAUGUCCACUCUCGCCAUUCCUGUUCAGUACUGUGCUGGAGGUUCUAGCCAGAAACAAUAGGCAAGAAAAUUAAAUAAAAGGCAUACAGAUUGGAAGGGAAUUUGAAAUUUUAAAAUAAAGCUGUUAUAUCACAGUUUUGAAUGUCAUCCAAUGGAAUUUAAAUAUAUAUAGCAAUUUGUUAUGUACCAUCAUCCAUUUAUAUAGAGAGAUAUAUAAAGCAAAAGCACUCUUGGUACUAUAAUAAAUUCUACAUUACUCGUUUUUCUCCUUGAACUUGUCUUUCUAUUCCAUUUUGUUCUCACAGAAGUUUAUCCUCUGCUAAUUUUAUGCUUGAAAGUCUUUUAUCGAUCAUCCUUUCAUACUUCUCUGCCACACAAAUGUGCAUUUAUGUGGAAAUUUAAUUUGUAAAAACAUUUCCUCGGACCAUAAUCCUUCGAAAAG